rnacentral:rRNA from 1 species
GACGAACGCUGGCGGCGUGCUUAACACAUGCAAGUCGAACGAGUGGCGAACGGGUGAGUAACGCGUGGUAACUGCCUAUUAGAGGGGGAUAACUAUUGGAAACGAUAGCUAAUACCGCAUACUAGUAGAUGACCUGCGUUGUAUUAGCUAGUAGGUGGGGUAAUGGCCUACCUAGGCAACGAUACAUAGCCGACCUGAGAGGGUGAUCAGCCACACUGGAACUGAGACACGGCCCAGACUCCUACGGAGGCAGCAGUGGGGAAUAUUGCACAAUGGGCGCAAGCCUGAUGCAGCCAUGCCGCGUGUAUGAAGAAGGCCCUAGGGUUGUAAAGUACUUUCAGUCGGGAGGCGUUACCGACAGAAGAAGCACCGGCUAACUCCGUGCCAGCAGCCGCGGUAAUUC